rnacentral:rRNA from 1 species
GAUCAUGGCUCAGGAUGAACGCUGGCGGCGUGCUUAACACAUGCAAGUCGAACGAAGCACUUUAAUCGAUUUCUUCGGAUUGAAAUUUUAGUGACUGAGUGGCGGACGGGUGAGUAACGCGUGGGUAACCUGCCUCAUACAGGGGGAUAGCAGUUGGAAACGACUGGUAAAACCGCAUAAGCGCACGGUAUCGCAUGAUACAGUGUGAAAACNCUCCGGUGGUAUGAGAUGG